CUACGGGACGCAGCAGUGGGGAAUAUUGCACAAUGGGGGGAACCCUGAUGCAGCAACGCCGCGUGGAGGAUGACGCAUUUCGGUGUGUAAACUCCUUUUAUAUGUCAAGAAAAUGACGGUAGCAUAUGAAUAAGCACCGGCUAACUCCGUGCCAGCAGCGGCGGUAAUACGGAGGGUGCAAGCGUUACUCGGAAUCACUGGGCGUAAAGGACGCGUAGGCAGGUUGGAAAGUCAGGUGUGAAAUCCUACAGCUUAACUGUAGAACUGCACUUGAAACUUCUAAUCUAGAGUAUGGGAGGGGGAGAUGGAAUUAGUGGUGUAGGGGUAAAAUCCGUAGAUAUCACUAGGAAUACCUAAAGCGAAGGCGAUCUCCUGGAACAUUACUGACGCUAAGGCGUGAAAGCGUGGGGAGCAAACAGGAUUAGAUACCCCCGUAGUC
rnacentral:rRNA from 1 species